AGUUUUGUUUAUAAAAAAAGGAGUGCAUAAGUUUUCGACAAAACUCUCUUAACUCUCUCUGCACUAGCGCCUGUAGUAGUAAAUUCAAACGCGGUAAACCUCAAUAAAAGAAAGUAGUUCUUCGGUAAAGCUAUUACUAGAACUAUUUCUAAAUAAGCCACUACAAUUGUCACUGAAGAAAACAAACCUCUGUCCUCCAUUCUUCUUACAAGUUGAUAUUCUCCCCAUUUGAGAACAGCUUGUAGCACUUCCAAUUCACUAGCUUGUAAAAAUGGACUCUUCAAUACUUCCAUCAAGUGAAUUUUGUCUAAUUGAUGUAGAACUGUCGACUGGGAUAUUGUUUGAAAUUCUUCUCUUAAAAAAUGUAACGCCUGAAAUAUAGAAUGGUAUCAAGAAUCAGUUUUAGCCAUCAAUAGCACAUAUUUCUUUAUUUAUUAUAAUCAAUAAAAUACUGAUAGAAAAUGAAGAUAGAAAUUAUAUUACCUGGCGAUGAACCCAUGCUGAACCAUGAGGUAGUCUGGACCACUGCAACACAGAAGAAACCUCACUCUACAUCAGUGCCUCUAGCGGCAAAUUCAAAUACAGUUUGGGAAAAUACCAAGUUACUAUAAUUUAAAUGGACAUAAUUACAGAAUUAGGUAAAUUGGUAACAAGUAAGAAUUAGAUUGAAAUUAGCAUUAAUAUUAGUAACAUUCUAAUACAAUAGGGGUAUACUUUAUGGAAGUACAGAGUUUUUUAUAGAAAAGAAAUUAUUUUAAGUAGUUUCUUUAUAGAAUAAAUUUGGGAUAUGUAGAAGAAAUUACAUUUUUUGCUAGUUGUCAUUCCAAAAAAAUCAAAUAUUGCAAAUGUCUGACUAGUUUUUUGCCAGAUGGCAUAACAAUAUAUAUACUAUAAAAUAAUUAAAAUGUCUGACAGUGACAGAGCCCAUCAUUAUUAAAAAAAUAUUACAUAAACCAAAAUCACUUCUUAUAAAGUUAAACCUUUCAUAUGUUUAUGGACAAAAAAUUAGCAACUCAAAAUAUUUAUACUGUUUGUGUGACAUUUUCAAGAUAUUGAGUGUACAUACCUUUUAGGGAUCACAGUUUCAUCCAAAACUAUUCUUGUAGGGAUGUGAAGAGCUCGUUCAGUAUGUUCUUCACCGCUUUUAGACCGCCUUUGCAAUAGAUUCCUAAAGAACGGAGAUCUUGCUGAAAGUAUAGCUUUAUGACAAGCUAAUUCACAUUUAGGUCUAAAUCCAUACUCGGAGCUUCCAGAAUCAGGUCGCUGACAAUCGGACCCAUCAGAAGUAAACACUAAAGUGGCGUCUGCAUAGUCACCUGAUU